UUUUCGUAACACGAUAAAUAUUGUAUCUCCGAGCUCAGCAAUUUUUGAUAGGAUAAAUAAGAAUGUCCAAAAACCAGAAACGUGGUCUUGUGUAAGGAAAUCUUAUCUACAAAUUACGUAUUGUUGAUAUAAAAGUCGAUUGAUGGAACUUCCAAAAUAUUUUUCUCGUGAAUAGAAAAGAGAAACGCUUGCCGUAGGUAAAGAUAAAACGAACCAAAUGGCGGUCUAUGCACCUCCCGUGAUAAUCAAAUCAAAAUAUUCGUAGGAAUCUUGGAAUUUGUUCUUGUUAUAUCGCGCAAGACAUCUGCACUCCAUCCCGCGCUGCUUGACAGCCAACGGUCUACGUAUGGUAUAUAUAUAUCGGUAUAUAUUCAUACCUUGCCGGCCUUCCGAACUCUCAAUAAGCCCAAGGACCUACCAUAAACUUUUUUUUUAUUUGUUAGAAUAUUUACAAUCAAUUCUCGUUGAGAAUUUUCAGUAACUUCAUUUGGCGUGGUACAAUGACAUGGUUUAUAAUAAUUUAUAUUGUUGAUUCUAGUUGAAUCUAAUGAUUCAAUCUAAAGGGUAUUUUCUUUUUAGUCUGCGGAUCUGGUCCGUCGUGUCAAGUAGUUGGGUGACUAAUAGGUUGUGGUGGUUGUUGACUCUUGUGUUAUAUCUAUUUCUGAACUUGUGUAUUUCUUCUUUGACUGACCAUAAACUUGAACUUCUAAAGUCAUUAUUCGCACAUAUAGUUUAAGUCAAUCUGUUUGCCCGGAAAGACUUUCUAAUCCUAGAAGUGUUUUCGACUGGUUUUUAGAAAGGUCCUUAGGUUUAUUAUGCGCUCUUAAGAAAGCGGGUUGUGGCCUAACGCAAAAGCGGAGAUGUACCUAACGGAAAAUCCGGGUUUUCCCUUAAACAACACGACAUCAACUAGCAACAUUGGUAGGAGGUUCCGUCCCCUCUAAUCACUCAUUAAAAUCGACUAACCAAUGGACAUAGCAGAUCGUUACCCUCACCUUACUAACGAAAAGUGUGUGCAACGAAUCCGUUUUCUUCACUAAAAAACCACACCCAUAGCUUUCCUCCGUAAUUGCAUGAGAGCAAAGAGUCAGUCUAGUUCAUUCUGUCAGUCUGUUGAGUCUAUUCAUUCGGUUGAUUCCAAAGAGUCUGUUCAAUCGCUACUUUUAUUGCAACACGAGGGCCUUCAUCUCAAAAUCUCGUCUACGCCCUUUAUAUCAUACGUAACGGUGUAACUCAUUGGUGUAUUAAGUGUUGGAAAUAUAAAUUUUAUAACCCUGUUAA
rnacentral:lncRNA from 1 species